CCCUGUCUCCUUUGUUUGGUGUACUCUCGUGGCAAAACUCCUGAUCAUCCUGCAGUGAUUUCUUCCUGGUCAGGUGCCCUGGUUGAAGUCCAUGACGUCUCUUCCUGGCAAAGCCUGUUUAGAGCUGUUAUAUCCUGGUCCGGAUAAAAUAAGCCAGCUAGCUCGAGAAGGAAACUAUUGUCUUGGGAACUUGAGUGCCUGGAUCGUGGUGAGCUGGAGCUGAGUGCCCGAUACAUUCCAGCUGCCUCUUCAUGUCCAGUCUACACCCUCCAUCCUGCUGCCUGGGAGCUGAUCUCUAUGGGUAUCUCACCGGGGGCCCAGGGCCUAUGGCUGCUGGGGGCCAGAAGAAGGGAGGAGUGCAGUUAGGGUGUUUCUUCCCUGGCUCCUUCUCUGAGAGCGUGGCUCGGCUCCAUGUGGCUGUGUCCCGUGACUGCGGGGCAGGUUGCACCUGCACAUGAACCACUUUCACUGCUAGAAUCUGACAAUUGUCCCCAACUCACAGCUCCAGACCCUCUUCUGGGAAGGACUCAGCCACGCUUCCUCCUCGGAUCACAGAAGACUCCAGAUGCAAGCUGUCUGUUUGCAACAGUGUGCAGGGCUUCUCUGACUGGGAGGCUGCUCCUGUCAGCUGUUCACCUUCUUCACUGACUCCAGAGUGUGCACGUGAGCCUGCCUGGAGGCGCUUGGACAAUCAUUUACCCCAUUUAAAAAAAACUGGCCUGCGUUCUUGACUGCAAAAACUCAUUAUCAUAAAAAUGCCAUGUCCUCUUAAGUUAGCCUAUAAACUUAAUGUAAUGCUAAUAAAAAUAGCAAUAGG
rnacentral:lncRNA from 1 species